GAUGAAGAACGCAGCGAAAUGCGAUACGUAAUGUGAAUUGCAGAAUUCAGUGAAUCAUCGAGUCUUUGAACGCACAUUGCGCCCCUUGGUAUUCCGAGGGGCAUGCCUGUUCGAGCGUCAUUUCAACCCUCAAGCACAGCUUGGUCUUGGGCUUCACCGCUAACCCGGCGGGUCUUAAAAUCAGUGGCGGUGCCGUCGGGCCCUGAGCGCAGUAAUCUCUCUCGCUAUAGGGUCCCGGCGGAUGCUGGCCAGUAACCCCCAAUUUUCUAUGGUUGACCUCGGAUCAGGUAGGGAUACCCGCUGAACUUAAGCAUAUCAAUAAGCGGAGGA
rnacentral:misc_RNA from 1 species